rnacentral:lncRNA from 1 species
AGACUCGGUUUUACUUAAUAAGACCAAAAAAAUUUUAAUAUUUCAGUUCGACCCCGUUUGGUCACCGAAAACUGUACCGAACUGCAAUCUUUAUGAGAUAGCUUUCGGAUUUUAUUUUUCACCUUCCGGAUGUCAAAAUGAUAUGAAACUUUAAAUCUAGACUCAUAAAAAUAAUUCUGACUUAUUCUCCAAUUUUCAUAAUUUUCUGACAUUGUGCAUUUUCUGCUAAUUUAUCUGUCCCGCUUCCAACAAAAAAUUUUAAAUUUUCUGUUUUCAUUCCGAUUUCAGCACAAGUCACUUCUGACUUAUGUUAUACUUCUCUAAAUUCAAUAAAAAUAGUUUCUCACACUAUUUUUGUUUAUUUUUAUUUUUAUACCGAAAUCUGGUGUGUUACACUAAACCAAUCAAUUCGGUUCCAAAGCCCUCAAAUAAAAAAUCUCCAAUUCUAACCCUAAAAUCCAAAUCU